GAUGAAGAACGUAGCGAACUGCGAUAAGUAAUGUGAAUUGCAGAAUUCAGUGAAUCAUCGAGUCUUUGAACGCACAUUGCGCCCCCUGGCAUUCCGGGGGGCAUGCCUGUCCGAGCGUCAUUGCUGCCCUUCAAUCCCGGCUUGUGUGUUGGGUCGUCGUCCCCCCCGGGGGACGGGCCCGAAAGGCAGCGGCGGCACCGCGUCCGGUCCUCGAGCGUAUGGGGCUUUGUCACCCGCUCGAUUAGGGCCGGCCGGGCGCCAGCCGGCGUCUCCAACCUUCUAUUUUACCAGGUUGACCUCGGAUCAGGUAGGGAUACCCGCUGAACUUAAGCAUAUCAAUAAGCGGAGGA
rnacentral:misc_RNA from 1 species